rnacentral:rRNA from 1 species
UACGGGGGGGGCAAGCGUUGUUCGGAAUUACUGGGCGUAAAGGGCGCGUAGGCGGCCAUCUAAGUCAGACGUGAAAUCCCCCGGCUUAACCUGGGAACUGCGUCUGAUACUGGACGGCUCGAGUUUGGGAGAGGGAUGUAGAAUUCCAGGUGUAGCGGUGAAAUGCGUAGAUAUCUGGAGGAAUACCGGUGGCGAAGGCGGCAUCCUGGACCAACACUGACGCUGAGGCGCGAAAGCUAGGGGAGCAAACGGG